CUGAUGUAUGAUAGCCCUCAUGACGUGUAACGAAGGAGAAGAGGGUUGAGGUUGCAAGGGGUUCUAUUUCCGGUGGGCUGUUCGGAACUGCACGGCAAGGCCAAAGAUAUACGUGCACUUGUAGAUGGGAUGAAGGAUGUGUGGGGGGUGAUAGAGGGUGGAUUGCUGGGGGAAGGGGUGGGUAGGGUGGGAAAAUAAUCUUGUGAAACGUAGUGCGUGAAGCUGGGUCCUUGCUGGGGAGGGGGUGUGGGUGGGAAAGGACAGUGCACACGGCGCACGUGCGGCUCGAUCCCUCCUACCCUCCCCACCCCCAGCCAGUCGCGUGUGCACAGUGUGCGCAUGCGCGGCACGGGCGUGAACUGUUGUUAGACUGACGACCAUGGCCAGCCGGCAAGGCCACUACUCGUGCUGUGAUGUUGCUGCCUUCACGGCCAGGAUUCGGUUGGAAGGAAGGAAGAAAUCUACUUAGUUGCUGUGGUUUAAGACAGAAUACGCAGGGGCUGUAAUUUUAACAUUUCAAAACAAAAAGUAAAAAAAAAAAGAAGCGGAUUUUUUUCCUUUUCGUUUUUUGGACUGCAAACAGGAGACGGAUGUUGGCCUGACACUCGGAUGUGCCCGCAGGCGUUUUGCCAAGGUGAUAAGGAGUGCUGAAAAGUGAUGCCCACCGGUAAACAUCUGACCUGUUAAAACGCUGCAGGCAUCUUCAGAUUGCCUUCAUUGGUCAGUGUUCACUUGCUGCUACACGUUUAUCUCACAUCCAGCAACAGGUCCUUAGGACAUCGACCGGCCACUACCUUGUGAUAGCAAGAACAAUCAAGAUGACAAUCUCUUUCAAGGCUAAUACUGAAGCGACCCAAUAAAGCUGCAAAAGGAUUAUCUGAACUUUGAGUGUGAGCUGAGCAAGCAAAAAGACAAAGUAUGGAAAAAUCAGUUAUUUACUCAUCGCGCAACGGUCGAGUUUACGGAUUUAUUUCGUGUUCGUGAAUAUUUGGUGUUGAUUUCCUCCUGCGUGUCUGGCUGGAUAUUAUACUUGGACUCACAAAGAGAUCGGGUCUCAGAACUUCAAAAGCGCGGAAUACUUACAUCUUACUGCUCCACCAGGUGAAGAACUUGGAGGUGAGCGUGUGCGCCUUGGUCACCUGCUCCCUACUGUCCUCAUACAUGGCGUCACAAACCUUGCUGAUGGAUAAAGGAACUCAGAACUGACAGCAGCAGGUGGCUAUCUUGACUGACUGACGGAAGUGAUCACUUACUUGGCUGCUGCAGAGUUUUUCUUUGAGCUUCGUCGGCAUUAGCGGCAUCAUGGCCACUCAUCUCGGCCGAAGCUCGUCAUUUGGUCCCGAGAUAGGACGAAGGAUUAUGCGCCCCCUCAGGUCCUUAUCCUUCCGACGGUUGGGGGAGGUCAUCAGCAACAGUCUUUCAGCUGAUACAUUUUCACAUCUUAGAACUGCGACAGUAUACAGCAGCGCUUGAAUACGAGCUAGACGUUAAAGAAAAAGCUGAACGUGGACUCCGAGCGGGUCAACCCACGAAUUGGAAUUAGACCAUUGGAGCGCUGACGGAAUUAUGCCACGUAACGACGGACCGCACCACGUAACUCGUAACUCAGACAGACUGCUUAACUCUUCCACAGGAGAUAACUAAUAAAGCUACGACCAGAUGGCGUGCAAAAUUUUAUUCAUGACGGCAAUGCAGAAUACUUAUUUUUUAGAUUGUGAGAGUACUAAGCUUAUUUUUACCAUGUGUGGUCUUCCAUUGCUCGCCGACCCCACCGCUACCCCCGGCCAGGAGACUAUAUAUGACGUGACUGUGCAUGUAACGUAUCUCAAAAGGUGCACGUCACUCCUCGAGCGUGCCGUAACAAGUCACUUCUGAGCGCAACGCUCGACUCCCAAGAUUCCUACAGACUGACUAAUCUCCCCUGAGCCAGCUGCUGAGACGCUCUGGAAAACUUGCUUGG